CCUACGGGAGGCAGCAGUCGAGAAUCAUUCACAAUGGGGGAAACCCUGAUGGUGCGACGCCGCGUGGGGGAAUGAAGGUCUUCGGAUUUUAAACCCCUGUCAUGUGGGAGCAAAUUAAAAAGAUAGUACCACAAGAGGAAGAGACGGCUAACUCUGUGCCAGCAGCCGCGGUAAUACAGAGGUCUCAAGCGUUGUUCGGAAUCACUGGGCGUAAAGCGUGCGUAGGCUGUUUCGUAAGUCGUGUGUGAAAGGCGCGGGCUCAACCCGCGGACGGCACAUGAUACUGCGAGACUAGAGUAAUGGAGGGGGAACCGGAAUGCUCGGUGGAGCAGUGAAAUGCGUAGAUAUCGAGAGGAACACUCGUGGCGAAGGCGGGUUCCUGGACAUUAACUGACGCGGAGGCACGAAGGCCAGGGGAGCGAAAGGGAUUAGAUACCCCAGUAGUC
rnacentral:rRNA from 1 species